AUUUCGGGUGUUGGGUGGAGCUUCGUUUUAAACUUGGCGACCUUCUCCCGUUUUCUUACCUCUCUGGGUCGGUAAAGUGAGCGGGGUGGAGGCUGCUGAGACGGAGUGCAAUGUCUGGCUUCCUAAUUGGGGAACGUUACAGGUCGUUUCAGGUUUUCUCACCUGAAGUAAAGAUGGUGAGUGUGGGGGUAGGUACAAGGUCCGACUGGGUGAGAAAAUCCUGUCCAGGAUCUGGAACUUAUAUAGAGACAGAUGAGGCUGUCUUGCGAAGAAGGCAAAAGCAGAUAGAUUAUGGGAAAAAUACCAUUGGUUACCAGCACUUUGUCCAACAGGUUCCCAAGAUGGCUCGUCAGUCAGGUAUUCAUCCCUGUACUCCAAAUAAAUAUAAAAAGUACAGUCGUCGUUCGUGGGACAUGCAGAUUAAGCUUUGGCGAAGGGCACUUCAUGGUUGGGAUCCACCUGGACAUGAGAGGGAAGUAUUUCUAAUAAUAAAAAUGCUGCCCAACUCUCAACAAAUCUGAAUGACUCACAAUAAUCAAAUAAACAACAAAAACAAAAAUUACAAUAAAAGCAAUUAAAGCUAAAAGAUGGCAAAUGCAAUGAAGCAAGCAGUGUUACUCCCCUUCACCAAAGGCCUGGAUGAAAAGUUUUUCAGGCUCUUCUAAACCAGAGUGGGGGCCAUCCAGAUCUUGGGAUCCUUGUUCCAGGGAGCAUCUUAAUUGAAUUGGUGAAGCCGAUGCUAUGGGAGGCAGGCAGUCCCUCAAGUAACCAGCUCUAUGCCUUUAAGUAUACAUAACAACAAGCACCUUGUAUCAAACCGAGUUGCAAACUGGCAACUAGUGCAGCUUGCAAAGUAGAGAUAUUAUAUGGGCAGAUAGAGGCAUGCUUCAUUCUGGACCAAUUGGAGCUUUUGAGUGGUUUUCAAGGGCAGUCUCAUGUACAGUGUGUUGUGGAAGUCAAAUCACAAGGUGACAUGAGUAUAAAUGAUUGUCUGAAGGACCCCCUAAUCUAGGAAACAGUGUAAGGGGCACACUAGAUGGAGUUGUGCAAAAAUCUUUCUGGCCACAGCUAACACUUGUUCAUUAAGUAGGAGCUAUGAGUCCAGGAAGACCCUUAGAUUCCUAAUUAUGCUUACUUGGCUUGAGCAGAAAUUUGUAAAAGUAAAUUAAGAGACACCCAACCAUAUACUUCUCCGGUCAGAUAUUUUGCUAUCAGAAACCUAUUAAUAAAAUCCAUCGUUUGGCAGGUUCACUUUUAAACACAAUUCUAUAUUGUAAAUAGCCACCUUUAUUGUGCAAUAUUUACUGCCAGCACCUGGUGAGCCACUUAUAAAGUAAUGCUCCCACACUAUUCAGGAAUUGCAGGCCUAGUCUCCAGUCCAUAUGCACUCUCCUUGGUAUUCCUUAUCACCAUGGAGACAGAGUUAAUUGUCAACAGAGUUGUCAUGCUCUUCAGUGAGAGCAAAUGAUUCUGGUGCCCAUCAGAGGCUGGGAGUAUUUUGCACUAUAUUAAGGUGGAAAAUGAGAAGGGUCACAUAUAUGAGAAAAGAAGGAAGAAGUGAGUAAAACACCAUUUUAUAUUUUCAUUCCAUUAAUUUCCAUGGGUUGCCUAUAUAUUGGCUACCAUUCUGUGGCAGAAGGUAGAAGCAUUUAGGCUGACACAUUCAACUACUCCUAUUCCAUUUUUCCAAUGGGUUUUUAUUUGCAUUCUAAGAUAGGAUUCUAAGAUAGGAGUAUGGAACAUUUUGUGGGUUUAAGACUGAAUUUCCGAAAAAUGUUUUGAAGGGCCACAUGGCAAUUGGCAAGGGAACAGUCCAAAGUGACUGGGUCACCCUCUUUUCUCUCUGGGCUCUAAAUGAGUUGUCAGCAAAAACCUAGACAGCUUUUUCUGGAGGUCUAAACCAACUGUUAAGAUAGACAACUGCAGAUUGCUUUUUUCCAGUUUAGGCUUUAAAGCUAUUUAAUGCAUUUGCUGCCUGGCUUAGUAUGAACAACCUGCUCUGUUUUGCAAGGCAGGAGCUGGUGACCAAAAUGGAUCUUUGGUCUAAUUUCCCAAAUGACUGGUUUGAUGCUCAGUGUAUUCAGGAAAAUAUUUGUGAAGAAGUCCUAGGAGAACAGAUUUCUGGAUUGUCCUCUUCUGGCCAUUUAUAUCCGCUGCUUCAGGAUACACUCUCCAACAUGGAACAUAUCAAGGAAGAUGCUGAAGACUGUCCAUUUGACUCCUGGCUCUUGUUUUCUUCUUAUGGGAUCCCAACGCAGUCAGUGAUCUAAAAGAGAAGACUUAGAGCUUCUCAAGGAUUUCAAGGAUUAUUUUUUUGGCCACUGUGGUCCACCUGUAUUGUCACUCAAUUUGCUACAAAGUCCAUUAUUUUAUAACAAGAUUAUCUUCCAUUUCUAUAUUUGAUAGCUUUCUAUGUAGAGUAAUUGUUAUUUAGCUAGAACACAAAGCAUUUCCUAUUGACUCUCCAUUAUUCAUAUUCCUAUUAUAAGUGUACAAAGCAAUUGAUGAUUGCUACUAAAGCAUUAUGGCUUGUUAGUUGCAGUAAGAAAAUUGAGAAUCAAAGUUCUGAACUAUGUACAGGUAAUUAAAUUGCUCUGAGCUUAUGUUCUGUCACUUGGGUUGUUAUUGGUUAAUUCCUGUCUGCUUCACACAUGCCCUGUAGUUGGAUAAAAUAACAUAUUUUGUAUUUGA